GGGGAGGUAGAUUUUAAGUAGGGAGAGGGACACCAGCCACACACCCUGAGCCCGGAGUGUGCCUGGUGCGUCUGAGGAGCAAUGAGGCCAGAGAGGAGUGGGAGGAGAUGAAGUCAGGGAGGAAACAGGGUGGGAGAGUCUGAAAGGACUUUGCCUUUCAGAGGGGGCGCACCAGGCUCUGACUGGCAUUUUGUUGAACUAGGAUGGCUCUGGCUGCCCUGUGAGCACACUGAAGGGAAGCCAGCAAGGAAGCAGGUCCUUGGUGGACAGGGGUGGGGCAGCUUCUCUGCCUCUGCCAGGCGGGCUAUAUAAACCACAUAGGAUGAUUUCAGGGAGAGGAAGGCUUGGGGUGCAGGACAUCUGGAGUCAGGGGCAAGGAGAACGUUUGUGGAAGACUGGAGAGAACUCCAGAGAGUUGGGCUGCAGGGCUGCCACCAGGUUCAGGAAAAUGAUCCCUGCAGCUUUAAGCUGUGUGAGUGUAGGCCUCUCAGAAAGGACGGACUUCUCAGAGUAAACCUCUGGGCUGGGACAGAGAGAUUUCAAAUCCAGCCCUCUGAGCUCAGUAACUCCUAAGUGUUUCUGUAAUUUGCCCAGCUGCACCUGGUUUGUGCCCCCCACACCUUCAUGCAAUAGUCAAGCCGAGAUGCCGGGGAAUGAGAGGCUGAGAAUCCCAAGUCCUGAGUUCAAGUCCCUGCUCUUCCACUUAACUGCCUGUGUGACUCUGGGUGAGCCAGCCAUUCUGGCUUUCUGCUGGUUUCCUCACAGGCACCCCAGGCACAGUCACCAUCCCUGCUGAGGGUGGUGGGCAGUGGUGACACAUGCUGACUGUGGGUGGAACAAAGCCUUAACUGUGAGAACCCUUAGACAGAGAAGGUGGGCUGGGUUACAAAGCUUCCCCACACUUCCUGAGACGAGGGAAGUAUCAGU
rnacentral:lncRNA from 1 species